GCUCCCAUAGUUUAGUUGGUUAGAACAUUUGUCUCAUAAUCAGAAGAUCGUGAGUUCGAACCUCACUGGGAGCA